rnacentral:misc_RNA from 1 species
AAGGAUCAUUACCGAAUUGUCAACAUGGUUGUUGCUGGUCCUCAAAAUGGGGACAUGUGCACACUCUGUUUACACAUCCACUCACACCUGUGCACCCUCUGUAGUUCCAUGGCAUGGGGGACCCUGUCCUCCUGUUGUGGUCCUACGUCUUUACACACACUCUGUAACGAAGUCUCAUGGAAUGCAUGACGCGUUUAACGCAAUACAAUACAACUUUCAGCAACGGAUCUCUUGGCUCUCGCAUCAAUGAAGAACGCAGCGUAGCCACAUCAAUGUGGAAGUAAAAGUCGUAACAAG